rnacentral:rRNA from 1 species
CCUACGGGUGGCAGCAGUCGAGAAUCAUUCACAAUGGGGGAAACCCUGAUGCUGCGACGCCGCGUGGGGGAAUGAAGGUCUUCGGAUUGUAAACUCCUGUCAUGUGGGAGCAAAUUAAAAAGAUAGUACCACAAGAGGAAGAGACGGCUAACUCUGUGCCAGCAGCUGCGGUAAUACAGAGGUCUCAAGCGUUGUUCGGAAUCACUGGGCGUAAAGGGUGCGUAGGCUGUUUCGUAAGUCGGGUGUGAAAGGCGCGGGCUCAACCCGCGGAUGGCACAUGAUACUGCGAGACUAGAGUAAUGGGGGGGGAACCGGAAUUCUCGGUGUAGCAGUGAAAUGCGUAGAUAUCGAGAGGAACACUCGUGGCGAAGGCGGGUUCCUGGACAUUAACUGACGCUGAGGCACGAAGGCCAGGGGAGCGAAAGGGAUUAGAUACCCGGGUAGUC